CUACUUAUGUAUGUAUGUAUACACACAUGUACACUUGUACACAUAUGUGUAUGUUAAAAUAUAUACAUAUGUGUGU
rnacentral:miRNA from 1 species